UGGGGAAUCUUGGACAAUGGGGGCAACCCUGAUCCAGCCAUGCCGCGUGAGUGAUGAAGGCCUUAGGGUCGUAAAGCUCUUUCGCCUGUGAAGAUAAUGACGGUAGCAGGUAAAGAAACCCCGGCUAACUCCGUGCCAGCAGCCGCGGUAAUACGGAGGGGGUUAGCGUUGUUCGGAAUUACUGGGCGUAAAGCGCACGUAGGCGGACCAGAAAGUUGGGGGUGAAAUCCCGGGGCUCAACCCCGGAACUGCCUCCAAAACUAUUGGUCUAGAGUUCGAGAGAGGUGAGUGGAAUUCCAAGUGUAGAGGUGAAAUUCGUAGAUAUUUGGAGGAACACCAGUGGCGAAGGCGGCUCACUGGCUCGAUACUGACGCUGAGGUGCGAAAGUGUGGGGAGCAAACAGGAUUAGAUACCCUGGUAGUCCACACCGUAAAACGAUGAAUGCCAGUCGUCGGGUAGCAUGCUAUUCGGUGACACACCUAACGGAUUAAGCAUUCCGCCUGGGGAGUACGGUCGCAAGAUUAAAACUCAAAUGAAUU
rnacentral:rRNA from 1 species